rnacentral:sRNA from 1 species
GUCAGGUACAUUGGCAUGUGCCUAUAGUCCCAGCCUCUCAGGAGGCUGAGGUAGGAGGAUUGCUUAAGCCCAGGAGCAGCUUGUGCAAUGUAGUGACCCAGUCUCAG